ensembl:snRNA U2 U2 spliceosomal RNA
AUAGCUUCUGAGCCUUUUGGCUAAGAUCAAGUGUAGCACUGUAAUAAUUUUGAAUGGUCAUUAAUCAAAUGGUCAUAUGUUUAGAACUACUUGUAGACUAUAUCUAAAAGUCUUUAUGGAAGAGACCAAGUUAUACCUAUCAAGACUGAGACUUUCCAUUCAAAGUCAAUUUAA